rnacentral:rRNA from 1 species
AUUGAACGCUGGCGGCAGGCUUAACACAUGCAAGUCGAACGAGUGGCGGACGGGUGAGUAAUGCCUGGGAAACUGCCUGAUGGAGGGGGAUAACUACUGGAAACGGUAGCUAAUACCGCGUACCAUCAGAUGAGCCCAGAUGGGAUUAGGUAGUUGGUGGGGUAACGGCUCACCAAGGCGACGAUCCCUAGCUGGUCUGAGAGGAUGACCAGCCAUACUGGAACUGAGACACGGUCCAGACUCCUACGGGAGGCAGCAGUGGUGAAUAUUGCGCAAUGGGAGCAAGCCUGAUGCGGCCAUGCCGCGUGUAUGAAGAAGGCCUUCGGGUUGUAAAGUCCUUUCAGUGGGGAGGCGUUACCCGCAGAAGAAGCACCGGCUAACUCCGUGCCAGCAGCCGCGGUAAUAC